CGCCGUGACGUCACGGGCCGCCCGCCAGCUCCGCUCGGGCGGGCAGAGCGCGUGCGGCCGCUGAGCACAUGGGCCCGCGGGCCGGCGGGGCGCGGGGCGGCCCGCAGCGGGAGACGGCCGCGAGGGACCGCGGCCACGAUGCACCCCGGCACCGGCCCGCACCCUCCCCGAGUGGAUUUCCACGCCGAAAGGAUGUCGGCGGGCCCGGGUGACCCGCGGGGGACGCGGCUCGAUCGACCUCCCCGCCUGAUCCUGUGACCCAAAAGGAGGGAAGAAGAGGGUUCCUCCCAAGAGAGCCGUGCCUGUCAGCUUCACAGGGGCGCACAGGUGCACGAAACUCCACAGGAGGAUUUUCUGCGCUUUGAUGGAGUGGCAGCGCUGCUCCGUGAGCGGGAAGCAGCCCUCCUGCAGCCACACGCUUGCUGACUCCCUGCUUCUCUGGAGGCCAGCAUGAGUCACCAGCACAGUCCCAGCCCGAUCCUCGGGGAUCCCCCCAACCUGGAUGUCUGCACGGUCACCGAGGCCCGGAGCUGCGCCCAGGAGUGGAACUCUCUCUCUCGUCCCCUUCCGUCCACGCAUUGGCCACGGCUCUCCGGGAAAUGAAUCCGCCCAUGCCUCUGUUCCUCCGGCGUGUUCCCCAGUCAGCCCGGCAGCUCGCCUCCCAAGGAAGGCAGCCGGUGGGCUGCAGCGACCAGGCAGAGGAGAGCCGGUGGGGGAGGGGGUAUGAUGACAGCGAUCACGAUGCUGCCAGUACGGCCCACGAUAAUGAUCAAAUCACCAUCGGCAGCGUUGUUCACGAUUGCCCAAAUCUGGAAACAACCCAAGUAUUUGAGAACAGACCACUGGAUAAAGGAGCUGGUACCUGUAUGCAGUACUCGGCAAGAAGGAACGAUGAACUCAUGCAAUUUGGGCACUACUGGAAGAUACUGUUCUGAGUGAAGUCAGCCAGGAAUUGAGGGGACAUAUACAGCAAGAUCCUUUCGGUAUGUGGAAUACAAAGAAGUCUAAUAAAGGUAUAACAAACCAAGAAUGGG